AUGGGAGCAGGGCACACCCAUCUAUGAGCUCAUAAAGGGAGGCCCCUCAAAUCAAACUGCAUGGUCUACAAGCUGGGCUUCCAGAUUACAUCUGGGGCAGGUGACCCAGAUCCCCCCUGUUACUCCCUUCAGUACUCAGCAGACUAGCCCUCCUUCUUCUUACCUGAAACUUAAGAGAGGUGUUCCUAUGGAGAAGAACUGAGGAAAAAGGCAAGACAUUUCACAUUCCACUGAGAGCCAAAUUCACACGUAAGGUCAGCAAAUAGGCCAAAAUCAAUGAGGACUGGAAGAUGAGAGAUUUUCACCAGUGGAGGUGCACUGAGAGCCGUGCAGACCCCAGAAGCCUGCCCCACAUCUGGCUGGAGUCAAUGAAAGGAAGAAGGCCUCCACAGGAAGAGGGAAAGUUUAACCUGCUGUCAUGCCAAAAAUACAAAUACAAGGACACCUAUGAUAGGAACUAUUAGUCCAGACCAUUCCAUAAAUUAUGGGAUGGGAAACAAUAUUGCAUAACAUAGCUUUGUGAAACCCAUAGUUAUACAAUUUAUUUUCUUUAAAUGCCAUUUCCCCAACUUAAAGAGGGGAAAUAAUCAACCAUAAUCCAUAGACCACAGAUGUCUUCAGUAUAAACAUAAUCAAUGUCUUCAUUAGUGGUAUCAUACACCAAAGUUAGAGAACACAUUCCCAACA